rnacentral:lncRNA from 1 species
CAGGAUUGUGAGUGGCCUCUGGGAGCUGAGGGAAGCUUCCAGUUGAUGUCCAACAAGAAGCUGGGAUCCUUAGUCCUACAGGCAAAGGACACAAAUUCUGUCAACAACCUGAGUGUAUUCCUGGUCCUGCUCAGUGCUCUGGCAGGGUGAACCUCUACUGAUUGCAUCAAUUUGCUCCCUUUUCUCUGGCUUCUCAAUGGGUUCAGCCAAUGGGAGGCACCAGCAGGAAAUCAAAGAAUGGAAGGCAAGAGAAGGCUGCAUUCAAGAGCAUGUAAGCAUCUAAUGUGCAUGCACUGAACUUCUUCAAGGGACAAGAACCUGGCUCCUGAGGCCUGUGGGCUUCCACUUGACACCAGGAAUUCUAAAGUGCCCACACUCAAAAGAAGUCAUUCUCUUCCCCGGUGUCCUGAUUGAAAAAGUGGAUAGCAGAGAAAAGAUUUGAAUCAUGUACUAGUUUUGAAGAGUCACAUUGGAAAAUGUGCUGUAUCCAUUAACCUUUUUGCAAAGAGCAGAAGGUCCACAGAGUUUGUCAGCAUGGCGUAUACUGUACUGUAGGAAAACAUACAUAAAUAAGGUAAAGCCAGCCUCUGUGUUAUGAGGACACUCCAGCAGUCCUAUGGAGAGGAUCAUGAGGAGGGAAACCAAGAUCUCCAGAGGAACAGACACCCCCUGACAACAUCCAGGGGAGUAAGCUGGGAAGCAGAUUACCUGGUCUUGGUCAAGACUUCGUAUGACUGCAAUCCUGGCCAGCACCUUCACUGCAACUUCAUGAAAGAUCCUAGACCAGAACCAUCCAGUUAAGCUGUCCUGUUUUUCCAACCCAUGGAAAUAAUGAGAAAAUAAAUGUUUGUUGUUUUAGGUCAUUCUAUUUUGGAAUGAUUUAUCAUAUAAUAAUCAAUAACUAAUACAGUACCAGGGGCAGGUUUUAAUUUGGAAUGAGUGUAUAGGAAAAUAUAAAGAAUAUGGUCAGAAAAAUUUAUCUUUUAUCCUUUAUUUUUUUUAUAUAUAGAAAUUAAUAGGCAUUAUGUAGAGAAAAUAGGAACACUUUUCAUGGGGUAUUUGGGUUGCAAAGUCAGAAAAUAUAACUCACACUUAUGUCAUCAUCGUUAUAAUUCUUACCAAAUACUAUUAAAAAUAAACUAUUUCAAAUAGUACUCUUGUAUUCAAUGACUUUUAUAAAGCCAUUGAAUAACAUAUCCCAGCUCUUAGGAACUCACAGAAUAUAGCAAUCUCUAC